GCCCGUGGUGCAAUUGGUUAGCACGUUUCACCGUAAAGGUUGGAAUGCGCGGGUUCGAUUCCCAUCUGAGGUU